GGCGAUCAGAUACCGCCCUAGUUCUGACCGUAAACGAUGCCAACUAGCGAUCCGCCAGUCGACUCAUCGCUCUGGUGGGGAGCUUCCCGGAAACGAAAGUCUUCCGGUUCCGGGGGAAGUAUGGUUGCAAAGCUGAAACUUAAAGGAAUUGACGGAAGGGCACCACCAGGAGUGGAGCCUGCGGCUUAAUUUGACUCAACACGGGGAAACUCACCCGGCCCGGACACCGUAAGGAUUGACAGAUUGAUAGCUUUUUCAUGAUUCGGUGGAUGGUGGUGCAUGGCCGUUCUUAGUUCGUGGAGCGAUUUGUCUGGUUUAUUCCGAUAACGAGCGAGACUCUGGCCUACUAAAUAGUUGACGCAUUGCCACUGUGCGCACAACUUCUUAGAGAGAUUUUCGGUGUUUUCAACCGCACGAAAUUGAGCAAUAACAGGUCUGUGAUGCCCUUAGAUGUCCGGGGCUGCACGCGCGCUACACUGGCAAACGCAACGUGCCUGUCCUGCCCCGAAAGGAGCGGGUAAACCCCUGAAAUUUUGCCGUGAUUGGGAUCGGACAUUGCAACUAUUGUCCGUGAACGAGGAAUUCCUUGUAGGGGCGAGUCAUCAACUCGUCCCGAAUACGUCCCUGCCCUUUGUA
rnacentral:rRNA from 1 species